AGAACACGCCAUUAACAAGGCCAGAACCCCGACUGCCAUUCCUGGACGGGAGCCACCAACACCCGCAAAAUCGAUCGGCUUCAUGACCACACUGCUGUAGGAAGCCAUAAGUUGGAAAUCAACGGGCCUGGCUUGAAGUGUGGCCUUAGGCAACACCGUUCUCAUCUACAUCUGGAUUCUCCAACAAAGCUGGGAAAAAAACGAUCCAAGGGAAGCCAAUCAAAGAGCCUGGAUUGCCAGUCUUCCCUGCUGCGAUCUCCGCCUGCGAUUCUCCAGGGGAAAUGUCCUUUAUGACCUUACAGCUCACCUGGAACCCUCCACCUAGGGCCCGAGGCAGCACAUCCUCUCGUGCCCGGGCACUUCCAGGCAUUGCCCUGAGUACUGGGCACUUCACACACUGGGCUGGACCACUCACCGGAGUGAAUAAGGAGGCUUGAAGCUGUCCUGGUACAACAAUGGAAUGAAGCGCUAGUCUCAGCUCAGCCACUUGGAAUAUGACUCCAACUCUCACAUUUCUGUGGGGUGUAUUCAUUUCAGCUUUUUGUUUGGUGCUAUGGGGAGGGAAGGGCCCUCAGACUGGCAUCCUUUUUCUUCCAGGAUGAUGAUGAAUAUUAUGAAAGUCUGAGGCUGUUUUUAAAAUUCUGCUCUAAUACGUUGUUUUUCUGUGCAUAAGAAUUAUGUAUUCUUAGCUGCAAAACUGGAAUCCGUCUGCUCAUGGAUAAACUUCUGGCCAUGAGCAUGUACCUUUCAGGUAACUUCCCUAUCAGAGAAGCUUACAAUCAAGAAUCCUACUUCCCUAGUUCCCUACACAGGCCCAGGAGGCUUUUGGUGGUAUCCGCUGGACUUUUGAAAAUUAGGGAAUUUCUCCUACUCUGAACUCUACCAGGAAUCACAUAUCAAGAUCUCAGUACCAUCUUACCUAGACCCUCUUGACCUCUUCUUUCUCCAUAAUCUCUUUCUAGCUCAUGUCAUCCAGACUCGAGGGCCCCAUUCUCAGUUUGACACUGAGGACACCCACGCUAUUAUCUCUGGCUGUGACCUUUCCCACGAGCUCCAAAUUCACACCAUCUUUUGACGUCUCCACUUAACUUCCCCAUUUCGGUGUCUCAAACUUGACAAUUCAAAACAGAACUCCCUCCCACUUCCAAACUGGUUUCCUACCCAACUUUCCCAGGCCCCCAGUUUCUCAAGUCAGAAAUCUAUGAGUCAUCCUUGAUGUUUGCCAUUCCCUCAUCCCUCCCAUCCAACCCAUUCGUAGGCUCUUGGGAAUCUACCUCCAAAAUGUCUCUGGAAUCCAUCCUCUUCUCUCCACCUCCACUGCCAACCGCCUCUCACCUGCAAUAGCUCUGAGGCAGCCUCCCCACUUCUUCUGCCUCCCAUCCCCACCCCUACAUAUUCCUGUCCUAUCUCCACCCAGAAGCAAACAAGAUCUUCUUUAACUGUAAAUUGGUUCACAUCUCCCCUGCUUAGAACUUUCCAAGGCCUUGACAUUAUUCCAAGAUCAAGACCAAACUCUUGACUGUGGCCAGUGAGACCUUUCCUGAACUGGUCCUACCUACCUCUGCAAACCCAUCUAGUGACACCUUUCCCUUAGCUUGCCUCCAACAUAGUGUAUUAGUUUCCUAUGGCUGCUGCAGGAAAUGACACAAAUUAUCCCCUUAUAGUCGUGGAAGCCAGAAGUCCAAAAUGGGCUGGAGCCAAGGCAGGCAGGGCUAUGCUGCUUGCAGAGGUUCUAGGGGAGAAUCUAUUUCUUGGUCUUCUUUGGCUUCUAGAGCUGCAAUCCUUGGCUCAUGGCGCCUUCCUCCACCUUCAGAGCCAGCAGUGUAGCAUCUUACUUGGUGAUCACAUUUCUUUCUUCUCCAGUGUCAUAUUUCCCUUUGCUUUACAUUGUCCUUUAAAUUUCUCUUAUAAGGAAACUGCGAUUGCAUUUAAGACCCACCCAGGUAAUCCAAGAUGAUCUUCCCAUCUCAAGACCCUUAACUGAAUCCCACCUCCAAAGUCCCUUUUGCCAGGUAAGGCAACAUUCCCAGGUCCCGGGGAUUAGGAUCUACAUAUGUUCGGGAGUGACUAUUGAGCCUACCAUGCAUACCACGCUCCUUCCCUCACCAGGGUCUUUGUACCUCUUGUCCCCCAUUACUAGAAUGCUCCCUUCUUCCCUCUCACUCUUUGCUUGGCCAUAUCUUUCUCAUUCUUGGGGACACAGCUUACCUGGCACCUCCUCAGACAACCUGUCUCGGACCAGCCCCUUAACAGCCUGAAGACUUUUUUUUUUUUUUUUUUGAUACGGAGUCUUGCUCUGUUGCCCAGGCUAGAGUGCAGUAGUGUGAUCUCAGCUCACUGCAACCUCUGCCUCCCGGGUUCAAGCAGUUCUCCUGCUUCAACCUCCCAAGUAGCUGGGAUUACAGGCACCUGCUACCAUGCCCGGCUAAUUUUUGUAUUUUUAGUAGAGACAGGGUUUCACCAUGUUGGCCAGGCUGGUCUCGAACUCCCGACCGCAAGUGAUCUGCCCACCUUGGCCUCCCAAAGUGCUGAGAUUACAGGCAUGAGCCACAGUGCCUGGAUGAAGACUUUUUCAUGUCUUUUUCAACUGACUUGUUUUCUGCCUGCCUCUCCCUCCACCCUCACCUAAGCACCUUGAGGACCAUGUCUGUUUUGUCAAUCCACUGGUCAUCCUAAUAUAACUGGUUAAUAAAUCAUUGCUGAAUUUA
rnacentral:lncRNA from 1 species